rnacentral:rRNA from 1 species
GGGUCAGUAGGUUGGUCGUGCCACCGGUACGUACUGGUCUCACUGAUCCCUCCUUCCUGAAGAACCGUAAUGCCAUUAAUUUGGUGUUGCGGGGAAACAGGACUGUUACUUUGAAAUAAUUAGAGUGUUUAAAGCAAGCUAACGCCUGAAUACAUUAGCAUGGAAUAAUGAAAUAGGACGAUCGAUCCUAUUUUGUUGGUUUCUAGGAUUGACGUA